UCACUCGUGUUUACUUUUAUGACUUUACUAUUAUUUCAAUAGUGAAAUAAUCAACGAUUAUUAUACGAACGAAUAUUAUACGUGUUGUAUCGUGAAGUGUGGUGCAAGUAAGCACAAAAAUCAAGCUGGAUUGUCUUUACACAGGUUUCCUAUACGAAAUGAUUUAAGGACAAAAUGGUUAGAAGCUAUCGGUGAGGAAAAUAUUAAUCCCAGACAUAAAUAUUGGUAUGUCUGUUCGAUUCACUUUGAAGAUAGUUGUUUUAAUAGAACACUGGAUGUGUUAAGAUUACGUGACAACUCUGUUCCCACAUUAUUUUUUACACCCAAAGAAGGCCCCCAGGAGUCGUUGGUUUUACAUGAAAUUACUAACAUCAGAAAGCAUAAUGAUACUGCCACAUCAACUGAUGUGUUCCCAUUGCCAUUAU